UCUCUGGUUCCUUGUAACGACAUUCACCUCAUACACCGAUCACAUUCAGGCUACGGCAGCAGCAGUAGUGUGCAGUUGCUCCAACACGCCUCUGUGUAUCAACAGCUUCUGUGGAAGAAGGAGGUUACGAGAAUGAACAACCUAGUGAAGUGCUAGGAUCAAGAGGGUCGCAGUAGGAGACAUGCCAGUUUUAGCCCUCCGCCGCCAGCCCAUGCUCUCCCCCCUUCAUCUGUUGCGGUGCUGACGGACACUACGCAGACUGGGGGUGUUGGCCUUGAACUUGCCUUUCCCUCCCCCUCUGCAUUCUCCCCCAUUCACUCACAGCUGCGUCUGCUACAGUUCCCUAGGCAACCGUUAUGCUGCCUGCCUAGCAACUGGUUCCCCCCCACCCCCCCCCUCUCUCCUUGCAGAUAGAGAGGGGUUGAUGAGGGGUGCUGGGAGAGACAAAGAACCCAAAGUGUGUUUAUCUAAUGUGGAUCAUGGAACAGGAAGCAGCGUAGGCAUCCUCUGUGAAGCUGUAUUGUCUACUUGCCGGUCCACUAGUAGAUCUGAGAUCCAAGGAGAGCAGAUGUUAGUAGUUAUGAGUGGGGCCAAUAUUAUGAAAUCCAGCCUCAUUCAUAAAAGCAGAACACCUAAUAAAAAUUACACCUCAGUGUUUCAAAUCAAGACCAUCUUUAUGUUGUUGAUGUGCAUAAUGUUAUUUUUGUAGUUGAAGUACAGGUUAAAAACACAAAUUCUAUUACAUCAUAGUUACCAGCCAACCAAUAAAUGUGUAAAAAAAAAAAAAAAAAAAAAGCUUGGUAGUGCCCCCACAUGGUAACAUUUGAUACAUGAGGCAUGUUAAGUGUUUUAUAAUUACUUAAACAAAUAAUUAGGUGUUGAUUAAAUAAUUAAGUGUUGUUAAUAAUGAUUUAUACAUAAUAAAAAUUACUGUGUCUGUUAAAAAA